GAUUUACGGCCUUGUAUGUAAAUCAAUAUUGACAGGACUCGAUUUGUUGAAAGGGAAAUAAAAUCAAUUCGAAUCGGAUUUUCCAAGAUUUAAUGAACAAAGGCUAAGUGCUUAAUUGGUUUUAAUACGGCAACCAUGUACACUGUAAAUUAUUAAAAACUGGUUACUACCUGCUCUUAAUUGUGAGCCGCACCUUGUAAAGAAGCCUUGUUUACACACGGGUCUUAACUUCCGGAUUUUUGCAUUUAAAAAACGAAGUUAAGUACCAUCAUGUCUGUACAGAGCCUGUUUGCGUUCUUUAAAUUCUGGUACCUCCAGUGGGAACUCAGUACGUCCCUAUAUAUGCUGGAACCAGCCGAGAAGGCCAUCAUCCAUACGAUAACGAUCGCGAUUAUAGGCGUUGUCAUUCUGGCGGCAUUGACCUAUUUACCAGGUCAUCUGAUCAUGAUGCUUCAUUUCCUGCACGUUAAUCUCUGGCAGCAAGAAACAUAGAGCGCCUUGCGAACAUAGGAGGGAUUUCAUGUUCUGUUAAUGUCCAUCAUGCCACAGAACGGCAUUGGAUGAAAGCAGCAAAAUCUUACCAACAAUAUAUAAAUAUUAACAAUAAAUACUCUGAAAGCUAGCACAUUCCCGUGUGGUUCACCAUUUGUUACAAGGUAUUUUUUGUUUUUGUUCUUCGUCUUUAUGACAUUUAUUUUGUGUUCAGUAUAUUUAUAAGUAUUUUAUUGAAAGGCAACUAUAAAAUCACGAUUCUUAGCAUAAUAAACAGGUGUUAUAAAAUAAAAUAAAAACAACUACGAUAAAACUGGCCUUGUGGGGCGAAGAACAUUCUAACAUUAUUAUAUUUAUUAAACCGUUGUAUAAGCAAAAUAACUCAAAUAUUACUACAUAUGAGAUGUCUUGGUGGUACUGUGUUUUUCAUGAAAAUUAACAAUUGGCGUCAAUGAACUUUUUCGACAUGUUGCGUAACGAUGUGUUAGGACGCUCAUCUGUUACAUUCACGUCGCCGUAACGCUGCUAUCCGAAUUUGGUCGAAGAGGUGGAUCUACGUGACAAUAUUUUCACUUUCGGAAAGACUCUUGCAUGAAUUUUGCUUCAUUUGUUAAGAUUACUUGAUUGGAUUAAAAAUACAAUUUACCAAGUUUUAUCUGUAUCACGGUACAUGUAUUCUGAAAAUAUAACGCACGCUCUUGGCUGAAGUACGAACAUUUUUUAAGAUGUGUUCUGUACGUGCAUUAUUCACUGUGUUAUUGUAUAAUAUUAAUUAUUUAAUGAACAAAAGGCUAUGAUAAUAUAUUUUAAGAUGAUGCUUACUGUUCCUGUUUCAUUUGUGUGUUUUUUCUGAAUAUAAAUAUAUACUGCUUGUAUUUGUUGAACUUUGUCUUUGUUACCAAAUGAUGCGUAUAAUUUUAUAAUUUUAAAAUAAAAUGCUCAAAUAAC